UCUUUCUUCUUCAUACCCACUCUACCACCAACAACAUUUUUUUUCUUCUUCUUCUUUUUCUUCAUCAGACCCACUACACCACCAACGGUUUUUUUUUCCUCCUCUUCUUCUUGGUUGUCUUUCUUUCUUUUCUUCUUUUUCUUUCUUUCUUUCUUCUUCAGACCCACUCACCAUGUUCAUCCACGCAUAAAUAUAUCCUCAGAAACAGAAACCCACUCCUCAUUUUCAUGAUUUUGGUCUUCAAUCUAAGGAUUCCUGGGUUUGGAUUUGGGUUUUUUGUGUUUGUGGGUUUAAGUUGGCAAUUUUGGAUCACUGAUCUGAAGAUUUUGUGUUGGUAUGCUUGGGUUUUCUGUGUUUGUAGUUGUGGUUUGAAGCUUGGGCUGUGAUGGAGGUGGGUUUGUGUGGUUGGUGGUGGUAUUGAUGAUUGAAAAUUUUUUCUUUUUGUGGCUGUAGCUGAUGGUUGGAUUUUCUUUUGGGUUAGAUUUAUUUUUUCGUUUUGUGGCUGUUGGUGGUGUUGACAGUGGUGGGUUCUAAGUUUGCCAUUGUAUAUGUGGUUUUCGGUCUGUGGGUAAGAGAAAAAAAAUCUGAAAUUUGGAAUAGGGAAGAGGGAAAAUAUGUGCUAUGAGUAAGAGAAAAAAAUUCAUGGAGAAAUGGUGAAGUGGGAGGGAACCAGUCUCUUGCUGGGUUAUGUGAAAUGGGUUUUAUGGUGUACAGAGGCGUGAAAUCAGUUGCUGGGUUUUGUGAUGGGAAGGAAGAGUAGUAAAAUGAAGAGAGAGAAUAUCACACGCGGGUACCCAUAUGACCGUUCUAUGUAGUGUUAGUGGUUGGGUCCAUGGUUUUGGGGAAAAGUUGUAGAGAUAUAUAACUGAGAACUGAGUCCAAACAUGUGUUUUGUAAUUUUUGAGUGAAGAGAAAGAAGCAAAAGAAGGAAGAUGAUACCGACUUCGGCAUCAAUAACGAAAAAAAGUCCCCUCCACCCACAAACAAUGCCUCCGAUGGGUUCUAUUCUUUCUCUAAUUUUUUUUAGAGAUGAACAGGAAUCUUUUCACAAUCUAGAGUCUCUAAUUUCAUCAAAUCAAGAAUAGAUGAUUGUAAAAGGAGGCUUACAGGCAAAUCACUCGCUGUAAAAAUGCACCAAGUUUAGAUUUUUAUGUCAAUCUUCUUGCACUACAAAAGCUUGACAUGAUGC